rnacentral:rRNA from 2 species
AUUAUGGAGAGUUUGAUCCUGGCUCAGAGUGAACGCUGGCGGCGUGCUUAACACAUGCAAGUCGAACGAGAACGGGCUAUAGCUUGCUAUAGUUGUCAGCUAAGUGGCGCACGGGUGAGUAAUGUAUAGGUAAUAUGCCUCUUACUAAGGGAUAACAAAUGGAAACGUUUGCUAAUACCUUAUACUCCUUUUAAACAGAAGUUUAAAAGGGAAAGAUUUAUUGGUAAGAGAUUAGCCUGUAUUGUAUCAGUUAGUUGGUGGGGUAAUGGCUUACCAAGACUAUGACACAUAACUGGUUUGAGAGGAUGAUCAGUCACACUGGAACUGAGACACGGUCCAGACUCCUACGGGAGGCAGCAGUGGGGAAUAUUGCACAAUGGACGGAAGUCUGAUGCAGCAACGCCGCGUGGAGGAUGACACAUUUCGGUGCGUAAACUCCUUUUAUAUAAGAAGAUAAUGACGGUAUUAUAUGAAUAAGCACCGGCUAACUCCGUGCCAGCAGCCGCGGUAAUACGGGGGGUGCAAGCGUUACUCGGAAUCACUGGGCGUAAAGAGCAUGUAGGCGGAUUAAUAAGUUUGAAGUGAAAUCCUAUAGCUUAACUAUAGAACUGCUUUGAAAACUGUUGAUCUAGAAUGUGGGAGAGGUAGAUGGAAUUUCUGGUGUAGGGGUAAAAUCCGUAGAGAUCAGAAGGAAUACCGAUUGCGAAGGCGAUUUACUGGAACACAAUUGACGCUGAGAUGCGAAAGCGUGGGGAGCAAACAGGAUUAGAUACCCUGGUAGUCCACGCCCUAAACGAUGUACACUAGUUGUUGUGAGACUAGAUCUUGCAGUAAUGCAGUUAACACAUUAAGUGUACCGCCUGGGGAGUACGGUCG